GAUGAACGCUGGCGGCGUGCCUAACACAUGCAAGUCGAGCGGAUGGACGGGGCUUGCCCUUGGCUUCAGCGGCGGACGGGUGGGUAAUGCCUAGGAAUCUGCCUGGUAUUUUGGGAUAACGUCCGGUAACGGGCGCGGAUACCGCAUCCGACCUCAGGUAGAAAGUGAGGGAUCUUCGGACCUCGCGCUAUCAGAUGAGCCUAGGUCGGGUUAGCUAGUUGGUGGGGUAAAGGCCUACCGAGGCGACGAUCCAUAACUGCGCUGGGAGGGUGACCAGCCACACUGGAACUGAGACACGGUCCAGACUCCUACGGGAGGCAGCAGUAGGGAAUAUUGGACAAUGGGCGAAAGCCUGACCCAGCAACGCCGCGUGUGUGAAGAAGGUCUUCGGAUUGUAAAGCUCUUUUAGUUGGGAGGAAGAGAAGUCAGAGUAUAUGUUGGUGUUUUGACGGUACCAACAGAAGAAGCACCGGCUAACUACGUG
rnacentral:rRNA from 1 species